rnacentral:rRNA from 1 species
UACAGAGGGUGCGAGCGUUAAUCGGAAUUACUGGGCGUAAAGCGUGCGUAGACGGUUAUCUAAGUCGGAUGUGAAAGCCCCGGGCUCAACCUGGGAAUUGCAUUCGAGACUGAAUAGCUAGGGUGCGGUAGAGGGAAGCGGAAUUUCCGGUGUAGCGGUGAAAUGCGUAGAUAUCGGAAGGAACAUCAGCGGCGAAAGCGGCUUCCUGGACC